UACGGGGGGGGUAAGCGUUGUUCGGAAUUACUGGGCGUAAAGGGCUCGUAGGCGGCCAACUAAGUCGGACGUGAAAUCCCUCAGCUUAACUGGGGAACUGCGUCCGAUACUGGAUGGCUUGGAUUUGGGAGAGGGAUGCGGAAUUCCAGGUGUAGCGGUGAAAUGCGUAGAUAUCGGGAGGAACACCAAUGGCGAAGACAGCUCGCUGGGACGGUACUGACGCUGAGACGCGAAAGCGUGGGGAGCAAACAGG
rnacentral:rRNA from 1 species